ACUAACUACACAUACACUUUUAUAAUACACACACAUAUAUAUAUAUAGUAUUUAUGUCUGUUGUGUGUAUAUAUAUAUAUACAUAUAUACAUAUGUGUGUGUGUGUGUGUAUAUAUAUAUAUAUUCAGAGUGUCCCCAAAAAAUGUAUACAUAUAUUAAAUGAUAAAAUGCGUUUCAUUUACAAAAGUUUAUAGAAUCUAUAGUAUUUCUCUAUGAACUUUUUUUCAAACUGACCAUUCUGAUUGAGGAACUGCUAAUAGCACAAAUCAAUGGUAUCCAAAACAUCAAGAAGCAGUUCAUUUGAUAUUCAUGUUCAUUCUCAUUCAAUGGCUGACCUCAACUCAUUGACUGUUGCUUGUUUUGUAUUGUACACUAUAUCUUUUAAGUAUCACCAUAAAAAAAUUUUUUGAGUGAUGCGAGGUCUAGUGAUCACUAAGGGUUUUCCACUUGAAACUCUUUGUCCAGUCUAUUUGUCUGGCUAAAUCUCAUCAAGCUAGGCCCUACAUUACUAUGGUAAUAUGGAUGUGCCCCGUCUUGCUGGAAAUAAAACUCCACAUUUUGAAAAUUUUCUUGAAUUUGUUGGCAUGAUAAAAUGGCUCGAGUAUAUUCAAUCACUCACAGUACUGUUAAAAAUGAAUGGUUUAACUUACCAGCUGCUCCUGUGGUGUUCCUCUGUUAUAUGCAGAUCCCCAAUCAGUGCAACUGUGGUGGUUAAUCGAUCCAUUUAAUUUAUAUGUAGCUUCAUCACUCCAAACAAUCUUUGUUGCAAAGUGCACAUCUUCUACACAUUUUGCCAAGUACCAUUUACAAAACUCCAUUCUCCAGUCUAUAUCAUCAUCAUUUAGAGCAACGACUAUUCAUGGAAUGCAACUUUUCCAAGGAGAGCACUUCAAAAUGCAAAUGAAGUUUGAUUUUGAAAUUCCUGUCUCAUGACUCACUUGCCAUGCAGAUUUUCUUGAACUCCAUCAAUUUAUUUCUAGUACCCUGUCUUACUUCAUGAGGCUCGUCAAUAUCCACGGUCUUCAAGAAGAUUUCUUGUGGAGAUUCUGAACUGUUCCAUCUGCUUCAAACUUAUCUCUAAUUCAAAUUAUGGAGGCCAACAAAUACGGCUCACCAAGAAUUACUAAGCAGAUUUUUAAAGAUAUCUUUUAGGAUGUUUACUUCCUAUUCAAACGCUGAACGCUUUCUCACCAAGGCCAAAAAGGAAAACAAAACAAAAAACAAUAAUAAUAAUUAUAAUAAUAAUAAUAAAACCAAAAAAAAAAUAACGAUAAUAAAAAGAACUGAACAAAAGAAUGCUAAAAGCCUACCGAGGUCACAUUGAAGAGAAGAAAAAUGCUGUAUACAUAUCGAACACGUGUUCAAAGUUAUUUUAUUUAUUUAAUUUAUAUAUUUUUUCCAAAUAUUUUUCCCCCUUUUUUUGUGUCAUUUAUUUAUAAACAUAUAUAUAUGUAUAUAUAUCUAUCUGUCUAUAUAUAUAUAUAUAUAUAUAUAUUUCCUCUCAGAAACGGUCAUUAAUUUUAGGGUGACCAACUGCGUUAGUACUUUAGCUUCCACUGCACUUGUAGUACUGUGUAAUAACUUUUAGAGCUUUUUCGUGGCGAAUAAUAGAGAUUAUUUUAGAAAUUGUUGUCAUUUUUUCCGAUGCUUAUCAUUUCAAAGAUUCAAAAAUGAAUGAGUGAAGUGUGUAAAUUUGCUGAAGACAUUCCAAAGAACACAGGAGGAUUACAGGUGCUUGCAAUGCACAAUUAUCACCUUCAUUUGUAUAAACAUUGCUUCGGUCUACCAUUUUAGCCGCUUCUAUGAAAUAGAUGGAAUAACAGGCUGGUAGAGAAAUGCAUGGGUUGUGCAUAUUUUAGUACAUACACAAAAGAGAAAAAAAAACAAAAAAAAACCACUCUUAUGUAUAUAGACUGGGUGGGUGGCAAAGAAUAUAACUGAAUGAUAAUUAAUAAGCAAUUAAAACCACAAAGAUUAUAUAUAUAUAUAUACACACACACACACAUGUAUGUAUAUAUAUGUAUGCAUGUCUGAGUAAGUGUGCGUAUGUAAGAAUACAUCCAUGUAUAUAGAGAUAUAUAUAUACACAUAUUCAUGUGGGUGUAUAUAUAAAUACUUGAAUAUAUGCAUCACUAUGUAUAUAUAAAUGUGUCUAUAUGUACAUGUAUAUGCACAUGUGUGUGUGUGUGUGUGUGUAUGUAAGUAUGUGUGUGUACAUAACACAUUUGCCAGUAUGAAUGGUUUUUAUUGCACACAAUUUAAAUUAUUUCCUGAUUUUUUUUAAUGUGAAAAAUAUAACAAAGGCAAAAUUUAUACACAUGCACACACAUGCAAAUGCACGCACAUGUUAAUGUAUAAAAUGCACAUAGACACACAAACACAUGGAAAACACGUAUGCACACUCUUGCACAAUGCCAUAUUUGAAGAAAAGAUGGUAAAUACAGUAUUCUUUAGAAAAGAAAAAUAAGUUCUGAGAUUUCUGAAUGAAAUAAAUUCUGUUGUAACAAUUAAAAGGAAUUAACGAACAGAGAACUAGAACUGUUCUAAAGGCUGACAUAGAAACAAUGCAAACAUUUUCACUUCAUACAUAGAUACACACAUAGGCACAUGUAUAUAUUAUGUAGGCAAGCAUAUUAAAGCUGACUUCACAUUUUAUAAAUAUAUAGACAUACAUGCAAAUAUGCAUACAUGAAUACAUAUAUAUAUGAUGUAAUGUUUACAUUCAUGUCUUUAUAUUUAUACAUAUGUAAGUAAAAAAAUAUAUAUACUAUACAUACACACUCACAUCUAUAUACAUGCAUAUAUAUGUCUAAUUCACAUAUAUAGUAAUCAUAUAUAUAUGCAGAGUCAUCUAUGUGUGCAUAUGUGUACACAUAUACAUUUCUAUAUAUGUAAGAGUGUAUAUAUUCAUAUAUAUAUGCAUAUAUUCUUCUUAUGAGCAUAUACACAUAUGUGUGAGUAUAUAUUUAUAUACAUACAUACAUACAUACCAUAUAUAUAUAUAUAUAUAUAUAUAUAUUGGUUAACACGAUAGUUAAUCAGCUUGUAGAAAGAUCGGCAUAAUGUAUAGGUUUAGAAUUUUUCUGCAGAGUUUAGACAGAAUUGGAAAAGUGUGAGGGAGGAGAUAGGAGUAAAUAUACUAACUAGCCAAUAUUAUCAUUAAUAACAAAAACAACUGUAGCAAUAUAUAUGACAAUAGCAAGACUUAAAGAGAUAGAAAGAAUAAAUUUCAUACAUGCUAAUUCUCUCACCUACCCACUUAGCAAACUAUGUAUUUUCAUUCAAGGUAGACUUUAAACAUAUAUAUAUAUAUAUAUAAAUGUGGGUGGGUGUGUAUAGAUGUAUAUAUAUGUAUAUAUCUAUGUGUGCGUACAUGUAUAUUUACAUAUAUAAAAGUGUGCAUGUGUAUGUAUAUAGAAGUGUGUAUAUGGAUGUGUGUUUUCAGGUGUUAUAUAUAUAUAUAUAUAUAUAUAUAUAUAUAUAUAUAUAUAUAUAUAUAUAUAUAUAUAUAUAUAUAUAUAAUAUGGUGAAUGUGUGUGCAUGUGUGGGUGUAUAUAUAUCUUCUAUAUUUAUUAUGAAUACCAUGAAUCUUAUUUAUUGCGUUGAGGAAUAUUUAUGAAAUCAGCUCUAUAUUUUUUCGGUCAUAUAGAAUCCAGAAUCAUUGUAGACUUGCUUCAGAAGAGGAGGGAAUCAGCUUACAAAGUCAAGGAGUGCCAAAGUUUCUUUAUGGUACCUUCUUCAAAGUACUCUUGAAUCAACAUAUAUUCUUUUCUCUGAAAAUUAGACAUACACUACACACCAAAUUAUGGAACUAGAUUUAGUGCAUACAUGCUUUAUAUAUAUAUAUAUUUAUGCAUACAUAUAUAUAUGAAGCAUGUAUAUCUAUGUAUAUAAAUAUUUUACAUUGUAUGUAUACAUCCAAAAUGAAAAAAACUCUGAUAGAACUAUUUCAAAAUUCUUAUAUAUUUAUAUAAUUUGCAUUUAAAAUUAUAGUUAUUUUAGGGGGAAAAAUAUCUACAGAUUCUUGCAAUUUAAUCAUUAACUAAUCCACAGACCAACUUACACAGGUAAUUAUCUUACAAAUAUUUAAAAAUCUUAAUUUUUAAAAAUAUAUAUACGCAGAAAAAAAUAGAUUGAAUCAAUGAUAUGUACAAAGAAAAUACAACACAUAUCUUUAAUAUUAAUUAAAACUUUCACACAACACAUAUACAUGCGCACACACUCAUAUACACAUUUACAUACACACACAUAUCUAUCUAUAAAUAUAUAGAGGUUCAAAUAAGUUGACAAAAUUUUUUUCAAAGAACAACUACAGAAGAAAGAAAGAAAAUUUAACUUUAAAAAAAAAAAUCACAAAAUAAAAUUUCAGAAAAAAUAUUAAAAAAAAAAUACUUUAGAAACUUUUUUAUUUUUAUUUAUUAUUAUUUUUUUGCAAUAUAUCAAAUUUGCCAUGUUAUCAUCGCAUUUUUUCUAUAAAUAUAUGUAAAUAGAAAGAAAAAAAGAAAAGAAAAAGACUGAAAAAAAUAUCACAUCUUGUUUUUUUUUUAAUUUUUUUCAAAUUCCAAUUGUAUAUUUAAUAAUUAAUUUAUUUAUUUUUAACUAAUAUUUCGCAAAAAAAAAAACUCAAAAAAAAAAAUCAUUAGAUAUAUUGCAUUACUAAAAAAUAUAUAAAAACCCACCCUGCAAAAAAGUCAACCAAGUGAGGAAUAUGUUAUAAUCUAGAAAAUUCUUUACCUCAUUCCCACCGAACAUACCACAGUCAGACAAUAAUAAUAAUACCCUCCUCCAUAAAAAUAAAUUUCAACAAUAAUUAGCACUUGCAAAAAUAAAUAUAUGUACAAACAAUCAUAUUUAUACAUACAUA